rnacentral:tRNA from 1 species
GGGUUGGUAUCCAAAUUGGUGAAGGACGCUGACUGUAAAUCAGUUGCUUUGAUGCGCGUGGGGGUUCGAGUCCCUCCCAACCCU